GACGAACGCUGGCGGCGUGCUUAACACAUGCAAGUCGAACGGAAAGGCCCUGCUUUUGUGGGGUGCUCGAGUGGCGAACGGGUGAGUAACACGUGAGUAACCUGCCCUUGACUUUGGGAUAACUUCAGGAAACUGGGGCUAAUACCGGAUAGGAGCUCCUGCUGCAUGGUGGGGGUUGGAAAGUUUCGGCGGUUGGGGAUGGACUCGCGUCUUAUCAGCUUGUUGGUGGGGUAGUGGCAUACCAAGGCUUUGACCGGUAGCCGGCCUGAGAGGGUGACCGGCCACACUGGGACUGAGAUACGGCCCAGACUACUCCGGGAGGCAGCAGUGGGGAAUAUUGUACAGGAGGAGGAAGCCUGGUGCAGCAACGCCGCGUGCGGGAUGAGGGCCUUCGGGUUGUAAACCGCUUUCGCUUGUGACGAAGCGUGAGUGACGGUAAUGGGUAAAGAAGCACCGGCUAACUACGUG
rnacentral:rRNA from 1 species